rnacentral:rRNA from 1 species
GAAGAUUACAGUAGAGGCAAUGCGCAGAAAUCAACCAAUAAUAAUCCACAACACCAAAUUUUCAGCAGACCUGCAUUUUGUGAGUUUCCUGAUGUAUUUCCGGAUGAACUGCCGGGUAUGCCGCCUGAUAGGGAGUUAGAGUUCAGCAUUGUUUUAAUGCCUGGGGCAUCACCCAUCUCCAAAAGACCCUACAAAAUGUCACAGCCAGAGUUAGUGGAGCUAAAGAAACAAUUGGAUGAGCUGAAGGAAAAAGGAUUCAUUAGGGAAAGCAUGUCACCAUGGGGAGCACCAGUAUUAUUUGCAGAGAAA